rnacentral:rRNA from 1 species
GGCGAACGGGUGAGUAACACGUGGGUGAUCUGCCCUGCACUUCGGGAUAAGCCUGGGAAACUGGGUCUAAUACCGGAUAGGAGCCAUUUUUAGUGUGAUGGUUGGAAAGUUUUUUCGGUGCAGGAUGUGCUCGCGGCCUAUCAGCUUGUUGGUGGGGUAAUGGCCUACCAAGGCGGCGACGGGUAGCCGGCCUGAGAGGGUGGACGGCCACAUUGGGACUGAGAUACGGCCCAG